ACCUCACAGCCUCUGAGGAUGCCUGCCAUAGAUGAGGGCGAAACGCCAGGAGAGAAUGCUCCUGAAACCUCACAGCAACCCAGUGAUUCCGGCCAUGAGAGCCUUCGACAACACUCUGAACAGGCCUUGCCCAGAAAACCUGUGAUGGGGGUCGGCAUCCGAAAUCAUGAGAAACACAAGCAGCAUCCACGCUAGGCAUGGGCAAAUCUGGGCUCUACAGGUGCUUUGGACUGCAACUCCCACCAUUCCUAACAACCCGAGGCUCUUCCUUAAGUUUAAGCGGCUGAGGGGGGAAAGGAAAGGGCCUGGGGCUGUUAGGAAUGGUGGGAGUUGCAGUCCAAAGCACCUGGAGGGGAGGGGGUGCAAGUUUGCCCAAGCCUGGUCUACAUUGGAAUGAACGCAGUCUGAUGGGACUCGGAAUUGCUCUGAUAUUGGAGAAAGGGUAAUUUACAAGGUCUGUAGCCUCCUCCUCUGUCAAAAGAGUGCUGCUGCCUCCGCAAACUACAACUCCCAGGAUCCCAUUUUGCUUAAACGACUUGAUUUCUACCCACAGAAUGAGGCUUUGACUUGCCCUUCUCUUGGCUCAGCAUGGGAACUGGUUUAAAAACGGACUGAAAAGGGGGAAAACAACUUCAGCUUAUAAAGCCCUUUUCCUGGGGCCAAGUUAAAUGUGGUUUUCGAAAGCUUGUUUUUCUCCCCUCCCCAUCCCCCCCCCCCCCAAAAAAAAACCCGGCCCGGGGCGGAGAGGACCCGACGGAGAACUUGAUGCGGGAGAGGGUCGCGAAGGAGAGGAAGGACAGGAUGGCGGCAAAAGGGAGGAGGAGGAGGAGGCGCUCCAGGCGUGGAAGGGUUUUCUGCCCCUUUAAAAAGGCAAAAAGGGGAGGGGAAGGGGGGAGACACCCCACCAGUCGGGUUAUUCUUAUUGGUAUGAGAAUGCGCAUCUCUCUCGGCGGGGAGAGAGCGAGAGAGAGAGAGAGCAAACAACCAGGAGAGGCGGGCGCGGGAUUGUGCAACCUGGGAACCUCCUGACCAAGCAGGCAGGCGCCUCCUUGCUUUGCUUUGCUUUGCAACCGGAGUCAUGCAAGCCAGGCGAGCGAGUUUCCUUCCACGCCGCCUCCCCCGGAGCCCAGCUCAGCCUUUGCGCUCGCUUCUUUCCCUUGCACCCGUGCCACCAUCCGCACGCUGCUUGCUGGCGUUGUAACGGGAUUUCCAUGCGGGGUGCGUGAGGGGCAUGUUUUGAACGCACAAUCUUCGGACUCGGCUCGGCGGGGCGGACGCUAGUUAGUUCCCCGUGCGGCUUUUUUGGCGGAGACCGAGCCACCAUCCGGCUCUUCCUUGGAGAUCAAGACGAAAAAGGGAAGGAGGACUAAAUGAGGGUGCUUCUGUUUGGGAUGUCAUUGUGCUUCGCCCACAAAUUCAGUUGUCUUGGAAGAACUGGAUCCCAUGCCUUCCCUUCUUUCCUUCCUUCCUCUCCUUGAGAUGAAAAGCAGCCCAAAGCCAACUGCUGCCUCCAUGCAAUCGAAGUCUCUGUAUAAAAGAAGAAAAAACAAAAACAAAGAGAGCAACUUUACUCAUAGUACAAUGCCAUGUCAGACCACUAGAGGGUGGUCCCUGCAUAUACUUUGAAGGGAGGACUGAGAAAGGAAGCAUCCUGGACUUGAACAUUGAAAGCUGCCCAUGCUUCCUUUGGAGAAAAGCCCCUCUGAUCUCAGUGGGCUUGGCUUCCCCAGAGAGGGAACAUGGCAAGCUCAGGCUGCAAUCUCUCCCCCCAUUCUGUGCAAUGCUUCAGUCUCGGAUUACACAAGCCAACAAGUAUUUUUCACCCGAUAUAAUUUGUAUGUUUAUUUUUUCCUCUAUCACGUGUAGUUUUUGCGAUGAGGCUAAUGGAAUAAUUAAUGCAUUUACGCACUGUUAUGAAUUAGAUUCUAUUGAUAUCAGUGCAUAAAUGCAUUAAUUAUUCGAUUAGCCUCAUCGCUAAAACUACAUGUGAUAGAGAAAAAAUAAACACACAUUUUAAUUCAAUGCAAAAAGCUCUAUAAGAAUGGCCUAAAAUUAUUGUGUUACACGAAUAUGAUGUGAAAUGUUUAGACUUUACAGUAGUCCGAUGUAAUGUACCAUUGGUCAUAUUUUUAAAAGUUGACAUGAUGGGAAAAAAUAAAGACAUGUUUAAAAUCGCUUCUCGGCCUUUUGGCUAAGAUCAAGUGUAAAAUCAGCAUAAACAUUGAUUUAAACUCUGCUACUCUCAUUUCUGAUGAUUAAAAAAAGUUUUAUUUUGUUGGCUUGUGUUAUUAAAAAGAACAAGAUUGGUCCUAUAUGCUUUGGAAACAACACUCUGUGAUGUUUGUUUUGCUGUUUGCCCCUGUUCAUAAGAUGUCACCUCGCUUUCUGUCCCUGUGAUAAUUGGAUUUUGGGAAAAAUUGCUUGUUGUGGAAACAAGGAUUGGUGAUAAAGCUUCAGCAGAGACACCUUUUCCCUAUGAUAACUCUUCCAGGAGUGAAUUUCCCUUUGAAGGAGUAGAUUUCUCCCACUUCCUGUUGUCUCACCCCUGUUCUUAAGUAUGAGUUGUUUGUAAGUCAGUUGUUUGUAGCUCGGGGACUGUCUCUAUAAAUACACAUAUUACACAUACACAUACCCCUGUAUAGUUAUGUAUCAGUCUAGAAAUGUUAGUUUAAAAAUCAGUCCAAAAAUCUGAGUUGACUUACCUAUGGAUCAAUGUGAGUACUGUACCUUACUUAACUCUUAUCCAAAUAGGAGCCAUAUCUGAGUAAAGUGGCAAACACCCAGAAAGAACCUAAAAGAAACACUGAAUGCCUCAAUUUUCUCUAUUUUGACUUUUUUUAAUGCAAAGACCGAACCCUGGAGAAGGCAUUGGUGCUUUCUCAUCUCUGCAGAAUAACCCUCGACUUAUUCAUAAUUUUGGUCCUAAAAUCUGCCCUCAAUUUAAACAUGAGGUCAACUUAUACAUGAGUAUAUACUAGAUAUGAGCAAACUUUGGCCCUCCAUGUGUUUUGGAUUUCAACUCCCACAAUUCCUCAAAGCCUGCUGGCUGUUAAAAUUGUGCGAGUUGAAGUCCAAAAUGCCUGGAGGCCGAAGUUUGCCCAUACCUGGCAUAUACAGUAUUUUUCCAACAUCAUCAUCAUUAUUAUUAUUAUUAUUUGUAGACUGCCUUAUCUCCCCAAAGGGACUCAGGGUGGUUUCCAACAUGUAUGGCAAACAUUCAAUGCCAAAAGUAUAUAAUUUGCAAGUCAAUAUUUUUUUUUGUACAUCACAUUUUACCUUCAAUAUAUCUAUUAAAAUUUCUCUUAUCCACUCCCACCUAAAAACAAUAAGCAUAAUAUUUUUAAAGAAUUAACAUGGAUUUCCCACUUUAUAGAAGUAUUGUUAUCCUGCUCGCUACUAAUCUUAACCAAAUCCUUUAUUCUACUUUUCUAUGUCAAUAUACAGUAUUACUUAAUUUUCAAAACCUGCAAGCAUUUUUUUACUUUAUAAAUGAUACAAAUGGUUCCCGUUCUUUUGAAAAAAUUCCAGUUGAUUUCUCCUUUAUCAAACAAGAUAACUGGUCCAUUUCUGCCAUUUCAAGAACUUUUAUAAUCCAGAUUAUUUUUCAUGUUUGAGCAUAAAAGGGCAUUUUGAAAGCCCACGGAAACACAAUACACUCUUAACAAAUCCGCAAAUGGACUCUCCUUAGAUCUGGAUAAAUGAAGAUGGAAUCUUGUAGCCUUCUGUUGAUUGCCGGUUUCAUUGCCUUUGCUUUAAAAUACAUUCUUUUAAGGCAGGAAAGUAUUUUAAAUCAGUCCUGUAGCCAAGACAAUGCAAACCAUAUGGGUUUACAUAAAAGCAUGGGACAUAUGCAGCCAAUAAUAAACAAGCUUCAUUCUUUCCA